CUCUUGCAGAUGAGGAAGCAAAGGUUCAGAGUGGUACACAGACGAUCCCUCCAGACUCACAGACACAGACUGGACUGUCAUGGUCCAGAAAACCCUGCUCCAUCCUGGGUCCUGGGCCACAGCACAGCGUGCAGGAGAUGGGGAGUAAGGCACCAUCAAGAAAGAAGAAAAAACCUCGGAGGCCAGGCAGGGGCUCCUCUCUGUUCUCCACAUGUGGCUGUGGCGUGUUGAAUGCAGAAGUUUCACAGGCACGUACCAGACGCUGCAUUCUGGAAAUGGCUCUGGCCGUUGGUGCAUGUGAGGGCAGCUCCCGGAUUUUCCUGGUUACACACGAAGCCACUGUGAACACUUUUGCCAUGUCUCUUCUGCACGUGCUUGAUGAUUUCUGGAGGCUAGAAGAUCCCGUAGAAGGAGAAUUGCUGGGUCAAAGGGAGAGGAGACUUCAGGAGAACAUCUGUUCUGAGACCUCACUUCAGGACCUAGGAGUGACAUCCUCCAAACCCUGUCUGGGUUUCUGCUUCCCUGGAAUGGGCUUGGAGAAAGCAGAGGAGAUAGGACUGGGAAGCCUAGAACUCUGGGGCUACGAGGGAGCUCUGGCAGCAGGGACCCACUCCUCCAGGAAGCCUUCCCUGACCACCCCGGGCUGGGUCAUCACUUCUCUGUGCUACGCCUGAAACAACAAGAGUCCUAUUGUGCUCAUGCCUGUUUACAGCUGCCAGACUGGGACCUCCUGGAGGGCAUCAUUAGCAGAGCCAGCAAGAAAUGAAAGUCUCUAAAGCUGGCACUUGGCGUGUGCACACACAGGUGGGGUCCUGGGUCUCCCUCAGCCAGCUGGUGUCCCCCAAAGUGUACACCUAGGUGGGCCUUAUGUGCCAGCCUCUGUGUAUGUUGGCAUGCCUGUGGGAGGUGCAUGUACACGUGUGCACACAUGUGAAUAGCAGUUGGUAUGUCUGCAUGAAGGUCUGGAAGUGGAGUGGGCAUGUCUCUGUACAUGGAUGUGGGCACAUACCCAUGUACACCCACUGCAUGUUCACGCUCGUGUGUGUUCAAACAGUUGCAAGAGCGUUCCUGUGCACGGGUGUGUCCACAAGUGUGUGCCUUCAUACCGGGUGCAUGCCCUGUGUGCCAGGCCAGGCUGUAGGGUGGAAGUAUAGGGUACCAACUGCUACAUCUGGGGCCCACCCGGGAACUAAAAAUAGCCUGUGCCCAGUCCUGUCCCACUGGGCAGGGGGCAGCCAGGCAGGCCCCACGGGCACCGGAGCCAGGCUGUUGGCCUCCUCCCUUCUUGGGCUGCCGCCCUGCCUGCCCUGCCCCAUCCUGCCCCGCCUGGGGCUCCCAUGAGCUCAUGCACACCCUGCCCAACCAGGGCCGGGAGGGGGUGGGGAGGUCCAGAGUCGGGCCUGUGGGGCUGAGGCCCUGCCCACGUCCAGGCGGCUGGACACCAGCAAGGCCUGAUAAGGUCAAGUGUGGAGUAGGGUCCACCCCCUCCCUCCAGCCAGGGACAGCCGGGCGGACAUGAGUCAGCACAGGGGGCAUCAGGCAGCCCCGGGCCUGACCAGUGGCUGGUGAUGGGCAGGCCAGGGGCUGACCAGGAGGAAUCACCUGGCAGGUUGGCCAAGCCCCGACCUCGUUCACCACCUUGAGGAAGCCCAUUUCCACUUCCACCCAGAAAGCCCCUCUGAAGGCCCCCGCCUGGCUUCCUGCCCUGGCCUGGACAUUGCCGUGCCUCAGGAGGGCUGAUGGCCACCCCUACAGAAGGGCACUUCUGGGUUUAGCUGCAUGGCCCCAAGAGUUCCAGAUGCCCCUUCCUCCAGAAGGCCUCCCUGAUUCCCCAGGCUGGCUGGGGAGGGAGUGUCCUCUGAGAUCCCAGCUCCCACUUGGAGCCCCUCUCCUUGCAAAGUCAAAGCCUGUUUACUCGAGCCCAGACUAGAGCUUCUUGAGGGCCAGGAAGUGUCAUUUCCACCUCCGUUCACAUCUCGCUCCCUUGCAGGGCCCCCAGCACAGCCCAGGAAGGGUCAUUGUUGUCCUCCUUUACAGGGGAGGACUCCGAGGCCUGGCACAGAUGGUGACUGGCUCAUAGUCCCCAGCCAAGGGGUGGCCAGUGUGGAGGCUGUUCCCAACGUCCUGCUGUCCCCAUCCCUGUGCCACUGUGAUCCUUCCUCCUGGAGCCCCUGACCUCAGAGGCUCUGAUGACCCAGCCCAAGCACCCAUGACUGAGAUUUUUCGUUCUGUGAACCUGGUGCGUGGGCAGCUUGGGCUGGGCCUUCCCUGGAGCUCCGCUCCACAGGGCAAGCUGGGCAGGACCUGACAUGCUGAUCACAGCUGAGUGUCAGGGUGGAGUCACCCGCUGUGUCCUUUGCCCCCUGCAGGGUCCUGCCAAGAGGAGAGGAGAGGGCACCAGCUUGGCAUAGGGAGAGCUCUUUGUGAGGGAAGGACCAUGAUGCUCCAUUUAACAGAUGAGGACCCAGAGGCUCAGAGGGUGGGCGUGAUGUCCCUGAGGUCCCACAGUGAGGAACAGCCUGGGAGGUCUUAGGAAACACUCCCCCGUGCUCAUGGACACGCUUGUGGCACUGUGUGUCAUAGUGAAAGAGGAAAAGUGGUCCUGGACGCCUGCCAGUCCUCUGUGAGUGCUUCCACACAGAGGGACAGGCAAGAGGGGGCUGGAUCCAUGCUGAAUGGGUGGGGUCCCAGACCAGUGAGGAAGAACAAUUUCCAACACCUCGACACGGCUGGGCUUGGGGGCUCACGCCUGUAAUCCCAGAACUUUGGGAGGCCGAGGUGGGCGGAUCACCUGAGGUCAGGAGUUUGAGACCAGCCUGGCCAACAUGGUGACACCCCCUCUCUACUAAAAAUACAAGAAAUUAGCUGGGCAUGGUGGUGUGUGCCUGUAAUCCCAGCUACCUGGGAGGCUGAGGCAGGAGAAUCGCUUGAACCCAGGAGGUGGAGGUUGCAGUGAGCCGAGAUCUCAACAUUGCACUCCAGUCUGGGGGGACAAGAGCAAAACUCCAUCUAAACAAACAUACAAACAAAAAUUAGCCAGGCAUGGUGUUGCAUGACCGUGGUCCCCGCACUCAGGAAGCUGGGAUGGGAAGAUCACUUGAGCCUGGGAGGUUGAGGCUGCAGUCAGCCAUGAUUGUGCCACGGCACUCCAGCCUGGGUGGCAGAGUGACACUCAGUUCAAAACAAAACAAAACAAACGUAAAUUCAGAGGAAAGUGGUUUUGGGCCCACACUACAACUGCGUUCGUUUCCUAUUGCUGCUGGGAGGAACCACCACAAAUGUGGCGGCUGAAAAUAACACGGAAGUGUGCUCUUACAGCUCCGGGGGUCGGAAGUCUGAAAUGGGUCUCGAGGGCUGAAGUCAUGGUGCGGGCAGGGCCUAUGGCUUCAGGGGCUCGCCUUUGCCUUUCCAGCUCCUAGAGGCCGCCUGCAUGCCUUGGCUUGGGGCUCCUUCCACCCCUCAACGCCAGUGGCACAGCCUCUCCCGCUCCCUCCAACCCUGACGCUCGCUCUUCUGCCUCCCUCUUGCACAUCCAGGGAUUCUUGUGAUCAUGCUGGGCCCACCCAAAUCAUCCAGGAUGAUUAGCCAGGUGGCUGGACCUGGGGGCUCACGCCUGUAAUCUCAGCACUUUGGGAGGUUGAGGUGGGUGGAUCACCUGAGAUCAGGAGUUUGAGACCAGCCUGGUUUUAGGUUCAGGGUGCUGGCAACACAACACAGUGGGUAACACAACAGACACCAUCCUUGUCUCAUGGAAGACAGACAGUAAUUCACAUGUAGCUGUGACACGUCUGGAGGGUAGAUGCUGGGGAGCAAAGUGAAGCAGGGAAGGGGGAUGGAGAGCAGGGGGGGCCUCAUCUGCAUAGUAUGGCUCCUUUCCAAGGAGAACCCAUUUGCAUAUUUCUUCUUCCUUUUUGAGGUAGGAUCCCACUCUGUUGCCCAGGGUGGAGUGCCGGGGUAUAAUCUCUGCUCACUGCAGCCUCUGCCUCGUGGGUUCAAGGGAUUCUCUUGCUUCAGCCUCCUGAGUAGCUUAGAUUACAGGCCUGUGCCACCACGCCCGGCUAAUUUUUGUGUGUAUUUAUUUAUUUAUUGAGACAGAGUCUCACUCUGUUGCCCAGGCUGGAGUGCAGUGGUGUAAUCUUGGCUCACUACAACCUCUGCCUCCGGGGUUCAAGCAAUUAUCCUGCCUUAGUUUCCCAAGUAGCUGGAAUUACAGGCACCCACCACCACACCCAGCUAAUUUUUGUAUUUUUAGUAGAGACGGGGUUUCACCAUGUUGGCCAGGGUGGUCUCGAACUCCUGACUUCAUGUGAUCUGCCCACCUCGGCCCCCUAAAGUGCUGGGAUUACAGGCAUGAUCCACAGUGCCCGGCCCCAUUUGCAUAUUUCUUUUAUAACCCAAAGCAGGUCUAGGUGACUCUGAAUAACAGCACAGUUUAUCUUCCUGCCCACUGGCUGUGUGACUUUCACCUGAUGGUCUCAUCUGUCUGGUCUCCUCAUAGGAGGAGUCAGUGGGGUGCCAAACUCUUCCUGGCAAUGCUAUGAGAUGCCCAAGGGGACGCCUUGAGUUCUCUGGGGAUCCUACCUUCAAAUCCCACCUUGGGCAGGAAGUACUGAGGGAUUCCCAGAGACGGGCUCCAUGGGGAGGGGGUGCCUCCCCCAGCUGCAUCAGAAAUUCAGGGGUGGAAAUGCCUCUGGCUGGAGCCCAGAUGGUCUUUGCACCUUGAAUGGAGCCAUUUCUGGAAGGAAUCCAGCUGCUCCCAGCCCAGCUGAUAGGCAGGAGUGUGAUGGUGCCAUUAGAGCCAGAACUGCCCCACUAGCUCACCGGAGGGAACCAGAGAAUGAGCCUGGGGUCUGGGGCCUGGGUUGGGCUGUGACGGACCCCAGACUGUGGAUCCUCAGCUGAGACAUGGAAGGGACUGGGGAGGAGCAGAGGUGGACCUAGGACCUGGCCCCCAAACUCCAAAACAGCUUCCAUAACUUCUGGUUGUUGUGACUCAGUUUCCUCAUGUGUAGACAAGGAUUGUAACGCCCUUCUCUUCUGGGGUGGUUGUGCGGACCAAGUGUACUCAUCAUGCACACAGGAGUGGAUGGGAUUGGCAGGGUGGUCGGCACACAGGGGUCCCAUCCUGGCUUACUUCCCCUCCCUCAUUCUCUCCAGCUCCCAGGGAGCUGGCCCCGGGCCCCAGGGACACCCGCAAACACCCCUUCAGGUUCCAGGCUCAGAAUGAAUUGAGAGAACAUUAAAAACAAAUAAAACAACCAUUUACUUGCUGAAGAGCAAAUGCGUUUACACGUCCGCUCAUCAAAAUACUCAAAGGACGCGUAGUGAGAGAGGAGUUCUGCCACUCCGUCCCUGCACCGUUUCUUGAGUGUAUUUUUCCAGAGCUGCCCCAGGCGGGUACACGGGAAGAUGGAUUUGAAUUCUCUUCUCCGCCUUAAACACACCCUGUGCAUGGCGGGGCUCUUUUCUUGGAGAAUGGCAGGCAAUGCACAGAAACAGCUUCCUUGAGCUGCAGUGUAUGGGUGCGUGUUCCCUUGUUAUUUGACGACGCUGUAGAGGGAGGGUUUUGUUUGUUUUUUUGUUUGUUUUAAGUAAAGGAAUGGCUUCAUGGAAGUGUCCUUCCUCAAAUCUGGAAUUCAUAGACUCUGGCUUCAGUCUGGGCUUGGCUACUUACCAGGGACUGCCCGUGUUGCUUCCCCUGAGCCUCAGUGUUCUCAUCUGCAAGAUGGUGUUUGUGGCCAGGUGCGGUGGCCCACGCCACAAGCACCAUCAGUAUGUUCAGCACUUUGAGAGGCUAACGCACAAGGAUCAUUUGAGGCCAAGAGUUCAAGACCAGCCUGGGGCCAGCCGCAGUGACUCACACCUGUAAUCCCAACACUUUGGGAAGCUGAGGUAGGCGGAUCACCUGAGGUGAGGAGUUCGAGACCAGCCUUGGCCAACAUGGAGAAACCCCAUCUCUCUACUAAGAAUACAAAAAUUAGCCAGGUGUGGUGGUAGGCACAUGUAACUCCAGCUACUCGGGAGGCUGAGGCAGGAGAAUCGCUUGAAUCCAGAGGUUGCAGUGAGCCAAGAUCAUGCCACUGCACUCCAACCUGGGUGACAGAACGAGACUCUGUCUCAAAAAAAAAGACAAGCCCGCAAGACAUAGUGAGGCCCCAUGUCUACCCCUGACCUCCCCCCCGACACACCCCCAAAAAACAAACUUAGCUGGCCAUAAUGCUGUGUGCCUAUUGUCCCAGCUACUCAGGAAGCUGAGGUAGGAGAAUUCCUUGAGCUCCGGAGGGAGGGUCCUCAGGGAUUACAAACUCGUGGGAGUGGGGGUGGGGUGAUGUGGGACCAAGGAGGUAUGAGGACCCCCCAGCCCCGCAGCCUGGAAGAACUGAGCCCUGAUUCCUAUUUUUCUCUGCCUCUGUUUCACUCUGAGAUCUUGGGCAGGACACUUCUACCCUGGGCUGUCAUGAGCUAUGAUCAUGCCACCAUAUUCCAGCCUGGGUGACAGAGCGAGACCCUAUCUCUACCAAAAAUAAACAAAGUAAAAGAUAAGAUGAGAAAGGUGGUGGUUGUACCGUCUCAGAGAUAAUGUUGCUUAUAGCAGCCUGCCUGCUGUACCCUGUUUGUGGAUGUGUUUUGCUCAUAAAACUUUCCAAACUCUGGAGAUUUCAAAUUAUAACCCAGAUUUCUGGCUUCUCCUGAAAAAUAAAAAGUCUGGUCAUUGCUGGCUGGAGCCAUGUAGCCACUGCCCACUUCGGAAGGGCCAGGGGUGCUCCAUCUGGCCUCAGACCCCACCACUCCCUACUGCUCAUGCACAUCCCCCAACCUGGUAGUCUUUGCAGAAGGGUGUGCUGGGGUUAAGCUCACGCAAACAGAAUGGGCAGGGUCCCCAGCACUCAACACAGCCCAGCCUCACUCUCUUGCCAGAUACUUGGGGUAUCUGGGACUUGGUAGCCAGAGCCAUGGACUAUCCAGUCCUGGAAACCCAAGCAAGUGGCCCCAGAGUGUCUCCUCCACCAGAAGGGAAGCUGAGAUGCCAGCACCAUGUCCAGGAAGGGUUCUGGGCGGCAAGCCAGGCGGCUUCAUCCCGGGAGGUGGCAGCCAAGGCUUCUUCCCUAGGCCGGAGCCGGAAGCCAGGCUCCAGGCACCUGGAGUUCCCAUCUCCGGGUCCCCAGGUUGUCCAUUCCUACGCACAGCCCCCCACGCCUUCCUCUUCCCUACCUACCUUUGGCAGCCACAUCCUGCCUUUCAGGGGUGGACCAGGACUGAUGGGGAGACAGGGAUGUGGGUGGGGUCCUAGGAGGACCUUGGGGACAUCCUCUCUUCAGGGUGGUUGCAAUCUCUUCUUAGCCCCAGGGUGCCUUGGAGCACAAUUUGAAAACCACUGAAGGAACCCUUUUGCUAGAUGGGAAAACAGAGGCCUGCAGUGGGGAGGGGUAGGAGGAUCAGAGGCCUGAGGACCUAGAGUCCCCCCUCCCCAAGUCUUCUGCAGAGCCCUGGCAUGUGGAAUUGAAGCUCACUGAGCCCCCAGCCAGCCUCCCUGGGAAGGCUGCCCCUGACCCUGCUCUUGUCUGUCCAGAAGGCCAGAGAAGUACUGGGGCUCCGACUUCUCCAAAACUCACUUUGCCUUUUUUGCCAAAUGCCCACCCUAUGGGGUCAUUGUGAGGAGUGAAAGAGAGACAGUGCCGAUAGCAAGAAGAAGACCCACAGUAGCUCCUGCCUCCUGGGCUUGAACCGAGGGCUGUCCAGCCUCGACUUGGACGAGUCCAUUUUUUGCAGCGCUUUCUUGAAAGACAAUUUACAUACCCUGAAAUUCACCCACUUAAAGUAUAUGAGUCAAUGGUUUUGAGUAUAUUUACAGAGUUGUACAACCAUGGCCACAAUCUAAUUUUAGAACAUUUACAUCAUCCCCCAAAGAAACCCAACACCCAUCAGCAGCCACUCCCUGUUCCCCUCCUCCAGUCCCUGGAACACUGCUCUGCUUUCUGUCUCUAGAGAGUUCUCUGUUCUGGAUGUUUUAUAUAAAUGGAAUCAUAUAAUAAUGUGUAGCCAUUUGUGACUAGCUUCUUUCAGUGAGUGUCAAGUUGUGGUAUGUGUCAGUCCUUCAUUCCUUGUUGUUAUUUCUUCCAGUAGAGCAGCCGGGAGCAACAUUCCUUUUUCA